AUGUCUUCCUCCAGCUCAACUCUCUCCUCCGCUGGCCUAAACAACACCAUCUCAGAACCCCUGACUCGCACGAACUAUGUUCUGUGGCGAGCUCAAGCCCGAUCUCAGAUUAUAGGAGCGGGCCUCCUAGGAUACCUAGAUCAAACAAUCCCAGAACCACCAGCAACCAUCACCUCAAAGAACGCUGAAGGCAAAGAUCAGAUCGUUCCAAACCCAGCCUACUCCGCCUGGUUGAUCCAGGAUCAACAGCUUGUAGCCUAUCUCCUUCGCAAUCUCUCGAAAGAAGUUCUGGUGCAAGUCGCCUCCUUAGAAAAAUCCCACGCCAUCUGGACUGCUCUCGCAAACAUGUUUGCUGCCCAGUCCAGGUCGCGCGCCAACAACUGCCGCGCCGCCCUCUCCAAUGCCCAAAAGGGUUCUCAAUCCGCUACUGCGUACUUCGGUCAGAUGCGUGCACUCGCAGAUGAACUUGCCAUGGCUGGAAAGCCUCUUCUCGAAGGAGAGCUGAUCUCCUUCCUCAUUGUUGGCCUUGAUAUGGACUAUCAACCCCUCAUAUCCGCUCUUGACGUCCGCACUGAGCCCCUCUCCGUCGACGAUCUGUUCGGCAUGGUGUCGAACUUCGAUCAGAGAGUGGAGAUGUUCCACGGCUCUAGAUCAGGCGCCUUCAAGUCCUCCGCAAACGCCGCCGCU
rnacentral:rRNA from 1 species